rnacentral:rRNA from 1 species
GCCGCAGUACAUUGACUGUGCAAAGGUAGCAUAAUCAGUUGGCUUUUAAUUGAAGUCUGGUAUGAAUGAAAAUAUGGGAGAUAACUGUCUUAGCAUAUUCAUUCGAAUUUAUUUAGUAAGUGCAAAUACUUACAAACUUCAAAAAGACGAGAAGACCCUAGAAACUUGAAGUAGUUUUUGUUGGGGCGACAGAAUUACAUUUAACUGAUUUUAAGAAACACGAC